AGGUACAGAGGUGUAACAGUACAGAAAUGUCAUUAUCUAAUGUUCAGGUUAUUAAUCAAAAGUGUUCGAGCAGACUGAGAGCAGUUGGACAUCUCCGGUCUCAUCAAAAGGUCUCAGUCUCAUCAGAGGGGCCAGUUCAUCAUUUCGUCAUCUACAUCACAUCAGCUAAAUAUCUCCGGAGGUGGAACUUACCUCAGGAGGAGAGCGAGAGUAAAAGUGAGAGAGAGAGAGAGAGAGAGAGAGACCGAAAGGAAUGAAUA